rnacentral:rRNA from 1 species
UGGGGAAUAUUGCACAAUGGGCGCAAGCCUGAUGCAGCAACGCCGCGUGAGGGACGACGGCCUUCGGGUUGUAAACCUCUUUUGGCAGGGAAGAAGCGAGAGUGACGGUACCUGCAGAAAAAGCACCGGCUAACUACGUGCCAGCAGCCGCGGUGAUACGUAGGGUGCAAGCGUUGUCCGGAAUUAUUGGGCGUAAAGAGCUCGUAGGCGGUUUGUCGCGUCUGCUGUGAAAACCCGAGGCUCAACCUCGGGCCUGCAGUGGGUACGGGCAAACUAGAGUGCGGUAGGGGAGAUUGGAAUUCCUGGUGUAGCGGUGGAAUGCGCAGAUAUCAGGAGGAACACCGAUGGCGAAGGCAGAUCUCUAGGCCGUAACUGACGCUGAGGAGCGAAAGCAUGGGGAGCGAACA